UGUAAACCUUUGUGUUGACAGUGUUGGGUGCUUGAAAACUGUAUUGAAAAGAAAAGCUCUGAAGUUCAAGGCUUCUAGCAGAGAACCAAGAGGAUGAGCAUAGAUCAUAUGAUCAAAAAAACGUUUAAAGGAUAUACAUUUAAUUUUGGGGUGUAAACUGUCCCUUUAAGACUUAUUUAAGUGAGCUGUACUGUUACUUUUCUAGGUGAUUAGAGUUAUAAUUUACGCACAGGAGAUUCAAACAUCAGGAACAACCAUCAGCCAUAUCCAGAGAUCAGAGUACCAUGGAGACUUGGACUCUUGAUUUUUGGAUCAGUAAGCAACCACGCAAAACACCUCAGCAACCACAAAGCAACACCCUGGCAUAUUAGCAAGCUGGCAGUGCUUUGUACAUCCCAGCAACUGGUGAGUAUUGCACUCUAAAAAGCCAUGGAUUUUCUGUCUAUCUUGCUAGUGUUUUUAUGUACACAUCAGACUGUAUAACUGUGAGGACACAUAAUAUGCUUCCUCUUCCCUGCCAGACCUGAGUGAGGGACCUGUUUGUGUGCCAUGAGAACAAUGGAACAAAAGCUACAUCCCCAGCCCCCAACCAAAAGCGGCAGAAAGCAAGGGUAAAACAUCACCUUGUGUUGCUGGUGUUGGGUUCCAUAAAUUAGACAAUGCUGGGUUUUAUUGCUGAGGCCC
ensembl:lncRNA